UACGUAGGGUGCGAGCGUUAAUCGGAAUUACUGGGCGUAAAGCGUGCGCAGGCGGUUCGUUAUGUCCGAUGUGAAAGCCCCGAGCUCAACUUGGGAAUUGCGAUGGAGACUGCAAGGCUUGAAUCUGGCAGAGGGGGGUAGAAUUCCACGUGUAGCAGUGAAAUGCGUAGAGAUGUGGAGGAACACCGAUGGCGAAGGCAGCCCCCUGGGUCAAGAUUGACGCUCAUGCACGAAAGCGUGGGGAGCAAACAGG
rnacentral:rRNA from 1 species